UACGGAGGGGGCUAGCGUUGAUCGGAAUUACUGGGCGUAAAGCGCGCGUAGGCGGAUUGGAAAGUUGGGUGUGAAAUCCCAGGGCUCAACCCUGGAACUGCCUCCAAAACUAUCAGUCUGGAGUUUGAGAGAGGGGAGUGGAAUUCCGAGUGUAGAGGUGAAAUUCGUAGAUAUUCGGAGGAACACCAGUGGCGAAGGCGGCUCACUGGCCAGAUACUGACGCUGAGGUGCGAAAGUGUGGGGAGCAAACAGG
rnacentral:misc_RNA from 1 species